UGAGGANUUUGCGCAAUGGGGGAAACCCUGACGCUGCGACGCCGCGUGGGUGAUGAAGGCCUUCGGGUCGUAAAACCCUGUCGAGAGGGGCGAAAAGCCGGUGUGCUAAUACCACUCCGGCUUGACGGUACCUCUGGAGGAAGCCCCGGCUAACUCCGUGCCAGCAGCCGCGGUAAUACGGAGGGGGCAAGCGUUGUUCGGAAUUACUGGGCGUAAAGCGCGCGUAGGCGGUUGUGCAAGUCAGAUGUGAAAGCCCUCGGCUCAACCGGGGAACUGCGUCUGAUACUGCUCGACUUGAGUCCGGUAGGGGAUGGCGGAAUUCCCGGUGUAGCGGUGGAAUGCGUANAUAUCGGGAGGAACACCGAUGGCGAAGGCGGCCAUCUGGGCCGGAACUGACGCUGAGGCGCGAGAGCUAGGGGAGCAAACAGGAUUAGAUACCCUGGUAGUCCUAGCUGUAAACGAUGGGCACUUGGUGUUGCGGGUUUCUACCCCUGCAGUGCCGGAGCUAACGCGUUAAGUGCCCCGCCUGGGGAGUACGGUCGCAAGGCUGAAACUCAAAGGAA
rnacentral:rRNA from 1 species